AUUGAACGCUGGCGGCAUGCCUUACACAUGCAAGUCGAACGGCAGCACGGGUGCUUGCCCCUGGUGGCGAGUGGCGAACGGGUGAGUAAUACAUCGGAACAUGUCCUGUAGUGGGGGAUAGCCCGGCGAAAGCCGGAUUAAUACCGCAUACGAUCAACGGAUGACAGCGGGGGACCUUCUGGCCUCGCGCUAUAGGGUUGGCCGAUGGCUGAUUAGCUAGUUGGUGGGGUAAAGGCCUACCAAGGCGACGAUCAGUAGCUGGUCUGAGAGGACGACCAGCCACACUGGGACUGAGACACGGCCCAGACUCCUACGGGAGGCAGCAGUGGGGAAUUUUGGACAAUGGGCGAAAGCCUGAUCCAGCAAUGCCGCGUGUGUGAAGAAGGCCUUCGGGUUGUAAAGCACUUUUGUCCGGAAAGAAAUCCUUGACUCUAAUACAGUCGGGGGAUGACGGUACCGGAAGAAUAAGCACCGGCUAACUACGUG
rnacentral:rRNA from 1 species